CAGCAGCCGCGGGAAUACAGAGGGUGCAAGCGUUAAUCGGAUUUACUGGGCGUAAAGAGCGCGUAGGUGGUUAUUUAAGUGAGAUGUGAAAGCCCCGGGCUUAACCUGGGAACUGCAUCUUAUACUGGGUAACUGGAGUGCAGUAGAGGGUAGUGGAAUUUCCGGUGUAGCGGUGAAAUGCGUAGAUAUCGGAAGGAACACCAGUGGCGAAGGCGGCUACCUGGACUGAGACUGACACUGAGGUGCGAGAGCGUGGGGAGCAAACAGGAUUAGAUACCCCGGUAGUCCCUGUCUCUUAUAC
rnacentral:rRNA from 1 species